rfam:Triticum urartu cultivar G1812 contig789112, whole genome shotgun sequence.
AUUAUACUCCCUCCGUUCCGAAUUACUUGUCGUAGGUAUGGAUGUAUCCAGAUGUAUUUUAGUUCUAGAUACAUCCAUUUCUGCGACGACUAAUUUAGAAUGGAGGGAGUAGCAA